AUGGCAACUGCCCUGCAACGUCCCCUGGAUCCAGCUCGGAGCAUUCCGGCAGCCGGGAGAGGCCGGGGGGCAGCGCUCGGAGCCGGGCUGCUGYGCGCCGUGGGCCGAGGCUGGGCUGCAUGGGCGCCGAGGGGCGCCGCGGGCCCGGGAGCUGGAGCAGCCGUGCGCCGUUCUGCACGGCUUUGCACGCCCAGCCAGGGGGAAUCUCUAGGUAGGGCAGGCUGGGGCAGGCCCUGCCGUGGCGAGGGGGCUCUGGGGGACGCGUCCCCCGCCAAAGCGGCGGCUGCAGCCCUGCGUCAGCAGUGCCGGCUCCCGCGAGGUGCCCACGUGGCACGUGGAGCCUGCGGAUGCCAGCUGCGUUGCAGGCUGCGAGGUCCCCGGCCAUCCCCGCCUUCCUCCAGGCUCCGUCCCUCCCUCCCAUUCCAGGUCCCGCAGGGAGAGCUGCUCCGUCAGGGGGAUGCCGGGGCGCCACGUCGCCGGCGGUGCUGGCCGGGCACUCGCUGCACAGGGAAGGGCCGCGGUCGCUGCCGCUUCGCUGGCAACGGGGACAGAUACGGGAGGACCGGAGUGCUGUAUCCUGACAUUGCUGCCGAGGCGCCUGUCGCGCAGCCUCCAUGCAAACAGGACCAACAUCCCACCUGCCCGGCUCUGGCUGCUGAGGGAAGGCGGACGCGUGGCCGGGCUGAGCCUGCAGCUUGCUGCACCGCUCGGGGCAGCGCGGCAGCGCCAAGCCAAGCGUCGGACGGCGCCGCAGCCUCGCGCUCCAUCCUCUCCGCCGGUGCCGGCCCGCGGGUCCUGCUCCUCUCCCGCCUGGCUGGGGCUCACGCGCCUGCUCCGCUCCGUGCUGGGCAGGGACGUUGCUGCACCUGCGGGCUGUCGGAGGCCCCUUCCCGCGGCAGGGCAGUCCCGUGUCCCUGCGGGUGCUGGGGCAGCCGGUGCCCUUGCGCGUGGGGCUGGGGACGCGCUGCCCCGCGGCAGGAAGGCAGUCGGGGUCCGUGCCAGGAUGGCGACCCAGGGAGGGAGCGCGCGUGUCUGGGGCCGGAUAUUGCCAUGUCUGUCCUGUUGACCUGA
rnacentral:lncRNA from 1 species